rnacentral:rRNA from 1 species
AAGACGCGCGGAAGAACCUUUGUUAAGGAACUCGGCAAAAUAAUCCCGUAAGUUAGCGAGAAGGGAUGCCUAAGAAAUUAGGUCGCAGAGAAUAGGCCCAAGCGACUGUUUACCAAAAACACAAGUAUCUGCUAAAUCGAAAGAUGAAGUAUAGGUGCUGACACCUGCCCGGUGCUGGAAGGUCAAGGGGACUUGUUAGAGCAAUCGAAGCAACGAACUUAAGCCCCAGUAAACGGCGGCCGUAACUAUAACGGUCCUAAGGUAGCGAAAUUCCUUGUCGGGUAAGUUCCGACCCGCACGAAAGGUGUAACGAUUUGGGCGCUGUCUCAACAAAGGAUCCGGUGAAAUUGUAGUAGUCGUGAAGAUGCGACUUACCCACGGUAGGACGGAAAGACCCCGUGGAGCUUUACUGCAGGUUGACAUUGAAUUUUGGGAUUAAAUGUACAGGAUAGGUGGGAGACUAAGAAGCAAGCUCGCCAGAGUUUGCAGAGUCACUGUUGGGAUACCACCCUUUUAAUUCUAAAGUUCUAACUAGUUGCCAUGAAACUGGUAAUAGGACACUGUCAGUCGGGCAGUUUGACUGGGGCGGUCGCCUCCAAAAAAGUAACGGAGGCGUUCAAAGGUUCGCUCAGAAUGGUUGGAAAUCAUUCAAAGAGUACAAAGGCAAAAGCGAGCUUAACUGCGAGACAAACAGGUCGAGCAGAGACGAAAGUCGGACUUAGUGAUCCGGUGGUACCGAGUGGAAGGGCCAUCGCUCAACGGAUAAAAGCUACCCCGGGGAUAACAGGCUUAUCUCCCCCAAGAGUCCACAUCGACGGGGAGGUUUGGCACCUCGAUGUCGGCUCGUCUCAUCCUGGAGCUGGAGUAGGUUCCAAGGGUUGGGCUGUUCGCCCAUUAAAGAGGCACGCGAGCUGGGUUCAGAACGUCGUGAGACAGUUCGGUCCCUAUCCACCGUGGGCGUGAGAAAUUUGAGAGGAUCUGUCCUUAGUACGAGAGGACCGGGAUGGACAGACCGCUGGUGUACGAGUUGUACUGCCAAGUGCACAGCUCGGUAGCUACGUCUGGGAAGGAUAAGUGCUGAAGGCAUCUAAGCACGAAACCAACCUC